rnacentral:rRNA from 1 species
UCCAGACUCCUACGGGAGGCAGCAGUGGGGGAUAUUGCACAAUGGGGGAAACCCUGAUGCAGCGACGCCGCGUGAGUGAAGAAGUAAUUCGUUACGUAAAGCUCUAUCAGCAGGGAAGAAAAUGACGGUACCUGACUAAGAAGCCCCGGCUAACUACGUGCCAGCAGCCGCGGUAAUACGUAGGGGGCAAGCGUUAUCCGGAAUUACUGGGUGUAAAGGGAGCGCAGACGGCAGUGCAAGUCUGGAGUGAAAGCCCGUGGCUUAACUACGGGACUGCUCUUGGAACUGCGUGGCUGGAGUGCAGGAGGGGCAGGCGGAAUUCCUGGUGUAGCGGUGAAAUGCGUAGAUAUCAGGAGGAACACCGGUGGCGAAGGCGGCCUGCUGGACUGCAACUGACGUUGAGGCCCGAAAGCGUGGGGAGCAAACAGGAUUAGAUACCCCGGUAAG